UCCGGUUUGUCACCGGCAGUCUGGUGUGAGUCCCCAACUUAAUGAUGGCAACACACCACGGGGGUUGCGCUCGUUGCGGGACUUAACCCAGCACCUCACGGCACGAGCUGACGACAGCCAUGCAUCACCUGUAUACGGCCCCGAAGGACACCAUAUCUCUAUGGCUUUUCCGUAUAUUUCAAGCCCUGGUAAGGUUCUUCGCGUUGCGUCGAAUUAAACCACAUGCUCCACCGCUUGUGCGGGCCCCCGUCAAUUCCUUUGAGUUUCAGCCUUGCGGCCGUACUCCCCAGGCGGGGCACUUCAUGCGUUAGCGCCGGCACCCAGGGGGUCGCUCCCCCAAGCACCUAGUGCCCAUCGUUUACGGCGUGGACUAC
rnacentral:misc_RNA from 1 species